AUGAAGUGCUUUGAAAGGCUGGUCAUGGCUCACAUCAACACCAUCAUCCCAGAAACCCUAGACCCACUCCAAUUUGCAUACCGCCCCAACAGAUCCACAGAUGAUGCAAUCUCCAUUGCACUUCACACUGCCCUUUCCCACAUGGACAAAAGGAACACCUAUGUGACAAUGCUAUACAUUGACUACAGCUCAGCGUUCAAUACCAUAGUGCCCUCAAAGCUCAUCAAUAAGCUAAGGACCCUGGGACUAAACACCUCCCUCUGCAACUGGAUUCUGGACUUCCUGACGGGCCGUCCCCGGGUGGUAAGGGUAGGUAACAACACAUCCGCCACGCUGAUCCUCAACACAGGGGCCCCUCAGGGGUGCGUGCUCAGUCCUCUCCUGUACUCCCUGUUCACUUAUGACUGCACGGCCAGGCACGACUUCAACACCAUGAAGUUUGCCGAUGACACAACAGUGGUAGGCCUGAUCAUCGACAAUGACGAGACAGCCUAUAGGGAGGUCAGAGACCUGACCGUGUGGUGCCAGGACAACAACCUCUCCCUCAACGUGAUCAAGACAAAGGACAUGAUUGUGGACUACAGGAAAAAGAGGAUCGAGCACGCCCACAUUCUCAUCGACAGGGCUGUAGUGGAGCAGGUUGAGAGCUUCAAGUUCCUUGGUGUCCACAUCACCAACAAACUAACAUGGUCCAAGCACACCAAGACAGUCGUGAAGAGGCCACGACAAAACCUAUUCCCCCUCAGGAGACUGAAAAGAUUUGGCAUGGGUCCUCAGAUCCUCAAAAGGUUCUACAGCUGCACCAUCGAGAGCAUCCUGACUGGUUGCAUCACUGCCUGGUAUGGCAACUGCUCGGCCUCCGACCGCAAGGCACUACAGAGGGUAGUGCGUACGGCCCAGUACAUCAAGGGGCAAAGCUUCCUGUCAUCCAGGACCUCUAUACAGGCGGUGUCAGAGGAAGGCCCUAAAAAUUGUCAAAGACUCCAACCAACCAGGUCAUAG
rnacentral:lncRNA from 8 species